CUAGGGGCGCUCGGAACGGAAGGUGUGUGGUGAGAGUUCACGUUUUAGAGACGUUGUGAAGCCAUCCCAAGAUUGGCAACUGGGGAACUUGUAUGGAGAGUCGGUCUGUCUGAACCCUGGUUUGAUAGGUCCCUCGCCAAUUCCCGCAAUCCCCGCCAGAUCACGUUGGUCCCAGUCUCUCCUCGCUCUCCACCUGCCCGGCCUUUGGCGGGACUUCCCGCUUUUCCGGCUCCGGCGCGGACUUCCUCCAGGUGCUGUGUGACGGCCUCCAGGACUCGACUUGGGAGGUGAUGAGGUGCGCUCCGGUGCGUCUGAGCGGGCGCCGGGGGCGAGUCCAGUCGCUUCAGCACACCCCUCCCAUGGCUCGUUUGUUGAGAAAAGUUGGUGAGUUCUAGUCGGUAGGAAAGUCUUCAAGUUUCCGCACGGUCAAGCCUUCAGACUUGGACCGAAACAUCAGCUCUUCUUGGAUCUUGAGCCUGCCAACUUCUAGACUGGAACUUAUACCAUCGGUGUCCUGGUUCUCAGGCCUUUGAACUCAGACUGGAACUAAACAUUGGUCCUCCUAAGUCAUCAGCUUGCUGACUGCAGCUCUUGGGACUUCUCAGUCUCUCUAAUCAUUACGCGGGCCUCUCCCGUUGCGGAGCACAGGCUCUGGAUGCACAGGCUCAGCGGCCAUGGCUUACGGGCCCAGCCGCUCCGCGGCAUGUGGGAUCCUCCCAGACCGGGGCACGAACCCGUGUCCCCUGCAUCGGCCGGUGGACUCUCAACCACUGCGCCACCAGGGAAGCCCCUCCUGCCCAAUUCUUAUGUUGAAGCCUUAACCCCCAAUGUGAUGGUGAAGAAGAGAUACCAGAGAGCACUUUCCACCCACCCCGCGAGGACAGAGUGAGAAUGAGAAGGUGGCUGUCUCCAAAUCAGGAAAAGGGAUUGCCAGAGCCUGAACAUGCUGGCACCCUGAUCUCAGACUUCCAGCCUCUAGAACUGUGAAAAAAUGAGUGUCUGUUGUUUAAGCCACCAAGUCUAUGGUAUUUCGUUAUAACAGCCCAAACUGACUUAAGACAGAACUUAUGGUAAGCCUCAGUGGAAAAAUCACAAUGCAGUCCCUGGAACUUGAGCAAGGCCAUGCCAUCUGCAGCAGAGAAUUAUAUACAUUUUAAGAAACAGCUACUAAUGUGAUACUAGGCCUUGGUAGAAACCGAACACUUAACUGUGGGACUCCAAGUAGCCAUGUGCCGAAAACUGCCUGUUACGGCCUGGGUUCUUUUGGUGUUCAGAUGGACCCAGCAGCAUUUAUUGUAAGAUGGAAAUGGUGCAUCUGAGAUGGAGCUCAAGCACAACUGAGGUACUUGUAAGCUGCAUGACCAGGUAGUCCAGACCCCCAUGUCACCCACCACAACUGCACCAAUACCGUGACCAGCUGAAGGAAGGGUAAAGCCUGAGUUUGGUUUAUGGGUGAGUCAGCUUAAGAUGUGGGUGUAAGCCAAAGUUAGAUAGUGGCUACAUUAUAGUCAUAUACUUGAGAAGCUUUGAAAAAUAGUGGAGAGGAAAAAUCUUCCUAAUGGGUAGAGUUAGAAGCAUUGUCCCUGGUCAUCUGGUUUGUGUGUAAGGAGAAGCAGACUGAAGUAAGAAUAUAUAUAGAUUCUUGGGCAUGUGUCAGUGGCCUGGCCCACUGGUAAGGGGCCGAGAAGAAAAAAGACUGGAAGACCAAAGACAAGAAGGUCUAGGGUAGAGUCUUGUGGGUGAAUAUACAUGAGUCGGCAUGAAGUGUGAAGAUUUUUGUAUCAUAUUUUGCACCCACUAAGGAAGAGGUACUAAACAAUGAAGUAGAGAAAAUAACUCAUGCAAUUGUCAUUACCAGCCUUAAUCAUUGGCUACCUUGGAACCAGCCUGAUGGGCACUAUUGUGGGUUAUAUUGUAUCCCCCCCAAAUUCAUACGUUAAAGUUCUAAUCCCCAAUACCUCAAAAUAUGACAUUUGGAAAUACGGUUCUUGCUGUUUUAAUUAGUUAAAAUGACAUCAUACUGGAGUAGGAUGGGCCCCUAAUUCAAUGUGACUGGUAUCCUUAUAAACAGAAGGCCAUAUGAAGACAGAAAUGUGCAGAGGGAAUGCCAUGUGAGGAUAAAAACAGAGAUUAGGGUGAUGCAGGAGAAGCCAAGGAACACCAAAGAUUGCCAGCAAACCACCAGAAGCUAGGGGAGAAGCAUGGAAGAGAUUUUCCCUCACAGCCCUCAGAAGGAACCAAGCCUACUGACACCUUGGUCUCAGACUUCUAGCUUCCAGAAUUG